UCAUGAUGAGCAAAAACUGAGCAUGGGGUAAUCCCCUCUUUUGGAACUCUACGACAUAUGUAUAUGCCUUGACCUUUCCGAGAAUGGCCUUCUCAAAUAGUUGCUUCUUCAUUUCUUCUAGCUUCACCUUGAAAACACGAACGGCAAUGUCUGGGCGAUCUUGUGGUGUUUGUCCACACUAUAGUUCACGUGUGAUCUCUUCCCAGUUGGGGUUGCAUGUCAUUGUGAGAAAUACGUCUAGUUUUCCAUAUUUUCUAAGUAAAGCCAUAGCAUCUAGAUACCGACGAAUUUUAUCUUGUGGCCCUCCAAUAAAUGAUGAUGCAAGUACUCUCCGUUUUCCGAUUGCAUCUCCAUUCCGUUCUCCAGCUUGAAUGCUGUCUAGAAGGCCUUGGUAUAGAUCCACCCUUAUUUUGUUUUGAUGAUGCCACAUGUAAUAUAGUCUGGAGCUUUCAAUCUCUAUGUAUGUAUCUACAACAAAUUGCUGGAAAAGCCGUCCACCGUGCAAUAUUGGGUUGAAUAUGCUUGGUCGUGUAUGGAAUUUAUAGCAGUAGUAUUCUUUCAUGGUUACCCGCAGGCCAUUGGCAGAAUCUAUGCAAAUAUUGCGACAUAAAAAAUUUAGUUAAAUUGAAUUUUGAAUAUAAUAGUAUAUGAAAUUUUUACCUGGGUCAUCAUCAUUACUGAUAGUAUCAGCACCAAUAUCUACCUCUUUUGUAUUCCUCUUUGGGAUUUUCCUAUGCCAACCCAGUUCAGCUCUUGGAAAGAAUAGAGGGUACGACAACAGAUCGUAGCACUUGUAAUAUGAUCGAAUGUGCUCUUUUUCGUUGUUGUUUCCAUGUAGUAUUACAUUCCUGACAUAAGUGUCGCUUCUUUCAUUUCCUUCAAUCCACACUGCAGCUACCUCCAAAUUUAUUGGCGCGUUGUAUGUUCUCUGGUCCAAUCUUUGGUCCAGGUUUAAGACGAGUCUAUAGUCCUCAAGGUUUUGGGCUCAUCCCAAACUCCUAAACUGUUGAGAGUAUGGGUUAUCCCGUAGGAUGUCGGUUAUUAUCCCGAUCACAUCCUUGUCUUGCUCGUACAUUUCCUCGCGGCAACAGCGGUACCGAUGCUCUAAGCUUGGAUCAUCGUCGUAGAAGUAUAGCUCCAGAUGCUUUGGAUCUGAUCGACUAUUACCAAAUGAGCGUAUGUCGUGAUAUAUCUGACCAUGUGCUUGAAAGGUGUAAAUACCACCAGAUGUUCGCAUGUCUCCAGAUGCUUUGGAUCUGAUCGACUAUUACCAAAUGAGCGUAUGUCGUGAUAUAUCUGACCAUGUGCUUGAAAGGUGUAAAUACCACCAGAUGUUCGCAUGUCAGUUGUGUCUCUGUCAAGAUGGCAAUAUAGAGUAGUAAACGAGAAGUGGCCAUUGAAAAAUCUUAUAUUGUUUCGAAAAUGUCUUGCGUCAGAGUCGUUGCUUGUCCGAAGUCUCAUGAGUUCAGGUGGUGUAUCUGCAUUGGCUAGUCUUAUCUGUCCUUUUCUGCGGCAUAAUCCCUUAGUUUCAUACUUGAAUUUUUUUGCAUGGCAGAAUCUGCAAUUUCCUUCCGUUUUGAGCACGUGUUUUUUUGGGUAUGUUGCUAUAGACGAAAUCAUAAGGAUCAGGGUUGUGUAUUUCCUCGCCUUAUUUGAUUUCAAUUUCCACUUCUCUGUCCCAUUCUAGUUUGGUUUGUAGCAUAAAAGUUAGUACAAAAGCAAUAUAAUGAUUAAAAUAUAUUUAAAUUCUAUUGAGCAUACCUUGACCAGAGAACAUGUAUUCGUCCUCAUUUAUGUCCUCUUCAAAUAUGACUUCAUUAUUACCUGUGUUGCAAUUUUUUAUUGUAUAAUAUAUUUCUUUGGAUUUCAUAAGAACAUAUAUGGAAUUGAUGACCUUACCUUGAUCGUGAUUAUUGAUUGAUUGUGUUGGUGUAUCUACUUCUUUCAUGGUUGCAUCAUGCUCACAUAUAAUCUCAUCCUUACCUGUGUAGUAAUUAAUUAUAUAUAUAUAUAUGUAAUUUUUGUAUUGCAUAAAAAUAUAUAGGAAAUUUUAUAACCUUACCAUGAACAUCAUUGUAUAAUGUUUGUAUUCGUGCAUCUACUUCUUUGAUUGCUAGAAACAUUGAAGACGGGAUGUCUGGCCACAAUGCCACCUUAUUUUGAUCGUCAUUGUAGAAUUUCUGUGUUGGUGUAUCCGCUUCUUUGAUGCUUGGAAACAUUUAUGAGGGGAUGUCUGUCCAUAAAAGAUGGUUAGUUCUACAAACAUUCGUAUAUUUAUUUUGAAUGCGAGUAUUGUGUAAAAUUUAGAGUAUUACCAUAAAUCAUUUCUUAUGGUUGCUGUAGAGGUUCUGUGUCAUCGUCGCCGGUUUCCUUCAUAGAUACAUCUUGUUUCGAUGAUACAUGCCUCUGUCUUGUCGUGAAUUCUUUGUUACGACGGUGUAGCAAUGUUUGCCUUUCUCCUGGUGUGACAUGCUUUCUGUAAUCAGGAAUGGUAGAAGUACCAACUUCUUUUUCAGUUGCAAUAUAGGCAGGGUUCUCCAGUGCAAUGGAGUCUUUGCUUGCUGUGUUGCGUUUCAAUUCAUUGAUAUGUUCUAUUCUAGCUUUCUUUUGUUCCGGCUGCAUUUUUGCAUAUAUCUGCCUUUGUUGUGAGCAUAUUUUUUCUUUCUUUCGUUGAUAGGCUUCAUGGUGUUUUUUGAGUUUUUCCUCUCUUUUUUCAUCGGCCAUCUGUGCAUAGCGCUCUCUGUUUCGUUUCCUUCUUUCCUUAGCAUCCAUCUCUGGAGAAUGUGAUCAAAAUGCUUGCCUGCAUGAGAGUUUUGGAAGUGUAAGAAAUAUUAGAAAUGGAAAAUUGAUUAAACUUGUAUAUGUUAGUUCAGUGUGCAAUCUAGUCCAAUAAUUGCAUCUAUUUUUUCAUUGUCAAGAAUGAUGUUUAAAUAUGAUUCAGUGUGUCAUAUAUAAAAUCUUGUAAAUUUGUUGCUCAAAGUAUGGUUUGGUGUAGUAUUUGUUCGGAAAUUUCAAAUUGCUAAUGAUAAACUUAUUGAUUUCAUGGCAGGUACCGGUGUUCAUAAAGAUGUUGAAGAAUUCACAAAAAGAAAAAGAUGUUGAAGGAUGUCGUAUAUGAAAAUACGCAACGAAAAUACCUGAUGUUAAGCUGACUUGGGAGCUUAGCAGCUUAAUUGAACCAAGGGUAUCUAGAAGGCGACGUGUGAAACUGAUUCUAUUUAAUUGAACUGAAGACUUGAGAUUGUGUAAGAAUCACGUGGAGAUACAGGUGUAUUUGUAGCACCAGCGAUACCUGCCUCCAAGUAGGUUUCGGCCUCCUGUAUGUAUCUAAGUAGGAUUCAAACUGUUUCAUUGAGUAUAUUUUCUGGGUGUUAUUUUGAUAUUGAGUCGGAUUGACUAUGGCAUGUACGUAUACACAGCCCGGUACGAUGUGGCCCUGGACGUGAACAUGGUGUAUGUAUCUAAGUAGGAUUCAGACUCCUGUAUGUAUCUAAGUAAGAUUCAGACUCUUUCAUUGAGUAUAUUUUUUGGGUGUUAUUUUGAUACUG
rnacentral:lncRNA from 1 species